AACGCGAAGAACCUUACCAGGUCUUGACAUCCCUCUGAAAGCCCUAGAGAUAGGGCCCUCCUUCGGGACAGAGGAGACAGGUGGUGCAUGGUUGUCGUCAGCUCGUGUCGUGAGAUGUUGGGUUAAGUCCCGCAACGAGCGCAACCCUUGAUCUUAGUUGCCAGCACUUCGGGUGGGCACUCUAGGAUGACUGCCGGUGACAAACCGGAGGAAGGUGGGGAUGACGUCAAAUCAUCAUGCCCCUUAUGACCUGGGCUACACACGUACUACAAUGGUCGGUACAACGGGAAGCGAAGCCGCGAGGUGGAGCCAAUCCUUAUAAGCCGAUCUCAGUUCGGAUUGCAGGCUGCAACUCGCCUGCAUGAAGUCGGAAUUGCUAGUAAUCGCGGAUCAGCAUGCCGCGGUGAAUACGUUCCCGGGCCUUGUA
rnacentral:rRNA from 1 species